rnacentral:rRNA from 1 species
UCCCAGACUCCUACGGGAGGCAGCAGUGGGGAAUAUUGCACAAUGGGCGGAAGCCUGAUGCAGCAACGCCGCGUGAAGGAAGAAGGGUUUCGGCUCGUAAACUUCUAUCAACAGGGACGAAAGAAAUGACGGUACCUGACUAAGAAGCACCGGCUAAAUACGUGCCAGCAGCCGCGGUAAUACGUAUGGUGCAAGCGUUAUCCGGAUUUACUGGGUGUAAAGGGAGCGCAGGCGGCGCGUUAAGCCUGGUGUGAAAGCCCGCGGCCCAACCGCGGGACUGCAUUGGGAACUGGCGCGCUGGAGUGCCGGAGGGGGAGGCGGAAUUCCUAGUGUAGCGGUGAAAUGCGUAGAUAUUAGGAGGAACACCAGUGGCGAAGGCGGCCUACUGGACGGUGACUGACGCUGAGGCUCGAAAGCGUGGGGAGCAAACAGGAUUAGAUACCCUUGUAGAA